GGGAAUGUGGCUUAGUGGUAAGAGUGCUUGCCUAACAUGCACGAAACCCUGGGUUUCAUUCCCC
rnacentral:tRNA from 1 species